rfam:Myotis lucifugus cont2.38520, whole genome shotgun sequence.
ACCAUCCUUUUCUUGGGGUUGCGCUACUGUCCAAUGAACAUCUAGUGAGGACAAUACUGCUAUGCCUAAAAUAGAUAGAUGAUAGAUAGAUAGAUAGAUAGAUAGAUAGAUAGAUAGAUAGAUGAUAGAUAGAUAAAUGUUUAAAGAU